rnacentral:rRNA from 1 species
AAAAAGACUCUCGGCAACGGAUAUCUCGGCUCUCGCAUCGAUGAAGAACGUAGCGAAAUGCGACACUUGGUGUGAAUUGCAGAAUCCCGUGAACCAUCGAGUCUUUGAACGCAAGUUGCGCCCCAAGCCGUUAGGCCGAGGGCACGCCUGCCUGGGUGUCACGC